rnacentral:lncRNA from 1 species
GUCUUUGGGGAUAGCAUUUGAAAUGUAAAUGAAGAAAAUAUCUAAUAAAAAAUUUAAAAAAUGAAAAAAUGAAAAAGAAAUAUUGAAGACAAUCUGAAUCAUCUAUUUAAAUGGUCACAUUUAAAACAGCAGGAUUUUUAUGAAAAUAGAAUUAUCUUUGUAAAAUAUGUAUCAUGCUUUCAAAUAUACUUAACAUAUUUUGAGAUUCUCUCUUAAUCAUUUGGCAUUAAGGAGACUAGCAAAACCAUGCCCUCUGAUUGUAGGGUCUGAGUGCUCAGAGCUCAGUCUAAUCAUCUUCCCAUGUCAGGCUUUCUCUGCUCCAGUGUGUCGCAGUGCCAUUUUCCUUGGGGUUGCUGUGGCUCUCCUCUGAGAAUUUUGAAAAUAGGAUUCCAAGCUGUAACUUUCCCAUACUCUGUUGCUUUGUUUUUUAUUAUAAGUACCUUUAAUUUUUUUUCAACUCUCCAUUCAUUUGGGACAAAAACAUCAGGCUUAGGGUCUAUGUCUACAAUUAAGGAUAGUGCUAUUUUGAUGAUAUUAAAUGGGUCAGUCAGUUGCAGAUAGCAGGUACCAGCACAGCCAAUGUCCUGCAAAAGACAGCUAGCAUGGCGAAUAUGUUUUGAUUCCACAUUUACCCAGUAGCUCUCAAGCUCCACCACCUCAUACAUUCAACAUGGUGUCUGGUCUUUAUCUUAUUGCCUUUAAACAAACAGAGGCAAGUUGAUGUGUUAUCACAAACUUUGAGAGCUUCUUAUACUAGUUCUUUUUUGGUUUUAGGGAUGGACAGUGAGUUUUAAGAAGAGCACAGUACUUCAAAAGAACUUAAAUUGUAAACCUUUGGAGUUUGAAGGGGUUUCUCAUAACCCAUCUGUGAUGCUUGAUUAUUAGGGUAAAGUAGUGUCUUAGUUAGGCUUUGUGCUGCUGCGAUGAAACACCACAGCCAAGAGCAACUUGGGGAGAAAAGGCUUUUUCAUGUACACUUUCAGGUAAUAGGCUGUCAUUGAGAAAAAUCAGAAACUCAAAUAGUGCAAGAACCUGGAAGCAGAAGCCAUGGAGUGUUGCUUACUGGCUUGCUCCUCCUGGCUUGCUCAGCCUGUUUUCUUAUAGCACACAGAACCAGUCAGCUACCCACAAUGAGCUGGGCCCUCCCUUAUCACUAAUUAAGAAAUGCCCUACCAGCCUGCCUACAGCCAGAUCUUACAGAGACAGUUUCUCAUUUGAGGGUCCCUCCUUUUAGAUGACUAGAGCUUGUGUCAAGUUGACAUAAAAGUAGCCAGCAUGGGUGAGUAAAGAAGUAACUGUUGAGGAGAAACUGGCUGGUGCUGAGAUCCCGCACAGGGGCACCUGUAGGGUUUUUGGUUUUUUGUUUUUUAAUUUAACCCAUCUUGUGUAUAGCUUAAAGAAUUCCUU